CCUACGGGAGGCAGCAGUGGGGAAUCUUGCACAAUGGGGGAAACCCUGAUGCAGCGACGCCGCGUGAGUGAAGAAGUAUUUCGUUAUGUAAAGCUCUAUCAGCAGGGAAGAACAUGACGGUACCUGAGUAAGAAGCCCUGGCUAGAUACGUGCCAGCAGCUGCGGUAAUACGUAGGGGGCAAGCGUUAUCGGGAUUUACUGGGUGGAGAGGGAGCGUAGACGGCAGUGCAUGUCUGGAGUGAAAGGCGGGGGUUCAACCCCCGGACUGCACUGGAAACUGUACGGCUGGAGUGCAGGAGAGGUGAGUGGAAGUCCUAGUGUAGCGGUGAAAUGCGUAGAUAUUAGGAGGAACACCAGUGGCGAAGGCGGCUUACUGGACUGUAACUGACGUUGAGGCUCGAAAGCGUGGGGAGCAAACAGGAUUAGAUGCCCCUGUAGUC
rnacentral:rRNA from 1 species